GGAAUAUUAUCACUUUAUUAUCAGCUUACGCUAUACAUUCCAAUCACAAUACAAAAUCACAUUUUGUUUUUCUUAGGUGACAAAUUAAAACAGUACGACUACAAAAUCAUAUUGUCAUCAAUUUAUUGCAGAACAUAUUUUCCUAAUUUCACUAUCAGAGCCUGUCUUCACUCCAAUGUUACUCAUCUUCACCAUGGACUUUCCAAACUCAACAUUGAAGUUCAAUGCAGCCAAGCCUCUAACACCCAAGAAACGUUGAACAAAGGUUCUGGUGGAAGUAUCAGUCCAUAAUUUCUGAUCAGACUCAAGAAUUCCUCGCCCAUUUCUCAGGUUGCCGAAGAAAGAUGCAUCAAACUUGUUUUCACUAUCUGUAUCCAGUGCAACUCGCUUUGUCCUGUCACCGUUCUGUGGACACAGUGCUUGUAAUUGGGGAAGGAAUAAAGCGCUGAUGGUAGGAUCAGAUCCAUUCCCAGUUGUAUUAUAUAAUCUGUAAUUAAAGAACUGGCAAGCUGUAGUCCCUAUUGUGUGUCCUCCAACUAGUGUGACAAGAUCCUGUGCAUUAAGACCCUUUGCAGCGAACUUUUGCUUUUGUGCAUCAAUGGAGUCUGUGAAGCCAGGCAAAUUAGCAGUGUCAGAUGCCGAUGACACCCGGCCGUCUCUACGUCCAGUAGGCACCUGCCAACUUCUUCCACCAGUCAGAACAACAGAGUCACGGGCUGCAAGUGCAAGAAUAUCAGCGCAAGAAACAAAUCCAGGACAUGCAGCUUCAAGCUGAGUCUUGGCAUCGUCAAUAACUUCAUAGCCUUUCAACCCAAGAUUUGGUAGGGCAGUUUUCUCAGUGUUGGAGCCAUUAAUGAGGAUAGAAGCAUCGCAUCCUCGGACAAAGCAAUCAUGGAAAUGCAUCCUUAGCAAACCAGGAGCAAUUGCAGGGUUAGAUUUAAAAUGUGUUGCAACUGUUGAGCUUACAAUGGAUUCAGCUCUAGGACAAGUCCUAGAAUAGAAUCCAACGCGAGUGCCUUGACCUUGCACCAAAGUCGCAAGCAUGGCAACCAAGAGGCAUAUUAACAUAGUGCGUCUCAACAUUGAAGUAGGUGGCAGCAAACAAUCAAUAGUGAUCGUAAAGGAUAAAAAAAAACUUGAUCUAUAUACUGGGCUAGAAACUACAAGAUAUUGGAUUCUGUUUUGGUGGUGAUGUUAAUUGUGCAAGAGAAGUGAAGUAUAUAUAGGCAUCUAAAGUCAAAAGAAAGGAAGUAAGCAAAG
rnacentral:misc_RNA from 1 species